rnacentral:rRNA from 1 species
CACGGGGGAUGCAAGCGUUGUCCGGAAUUACUGGGCGUAAAGCGCACGUAGGCGGUUCGUUAAGUUGGAUGUGAAAGCCCCGGGCUCAACCUGGGAAUUGCAUUCAAAACUGGCAGACUAGAGUAUGUGAGAGGGGGGUAGAAUUCCAAGUGUAGCGGUGAAAUGCGUAGAGAUUUGGAGGAAUACCAGUGGCGAAGGCGGCCCCCUGGCACAAUACUGACGCUGAGGUGCGAAAGCGUGGGGAUCAAACAGGAUUAGAUACCCUGGUAGUCCACGCCGUAAACGAUGUCUACUAGCUGUUCGUGGUCUUGUACCGUGAGUAGCGCAGCUAACGCACUAAGUAGACCGCCUGGGGAGUACAGUCGCAAGAUUAAA